AUCGAAUUUGUUGUACUGAAAAGCAUUGAGUCCAGGCCGAACCAGAUCAACGUUUGCAGCAACCGUGUGUCUGGCGUUGUCGCUUGGUCAAAAUAUACAUCCGUCAUUUAAGGAGGAUCUGCAAAACGGUUGCAGCGGCUGAGAAUGGAACCAUCUACAAUACGACCGAUCUUUUUUCUUGGCACACUCCUAGGAAUGGCAACACAAGCUUUGGGCGAGGUUUGCUCCAGCUACUGCAACGCAACCUACCACUGGCAGCCAGCGGUAGAUUGCAAGCCGUACGGUCUAUGCUGCGGAUUCGCCAACAAGCGAUACUGCUGCGUUGACUACCGAGACCAACUGAAACCAACCACGGAUCUCACACCAGCGGACUGCAAGGUGCAGCAUCGAAAAGAGAUACUUCGGCAACAGUUCCUAAAGAUGAUGAGAGGAACAGCUUCGAUAUCGUCGAAAUCAUGUGUCACAGCACUAUUACCUUGGCUUGCAGUCAUCAUUUCUAUUCCCGAAUUAUGCAAUAGUAUAAUGGAAAGGUGGAUACGAAUGGAACAUUUAAUUCUAGAGAUGAUGUCUUCACGAUAACUGACAUAAACUGUCCAUUUAAAAAGCUGAGGACUGCUGUGCAAAGUGAAACAUCCAUCAUUUCGAUUUUCUAACAC